AAACGCAGGAUAACCUAGUUCAGACACGCU
rnacentral:sRNA from 1 species